rnacentral:rRNA from 1 species
AGCAGUCGCCGCGGUAAUACGUAGGUCCCGAGCGUUGUCCGGAUUUAUUGGGCGUAAAGCGAGCGCAGGCGGUUAGAUAAGUCUGAAGUUAAAGGCUGUGGCUUAACCAUAGUACGCUUUGGAAACUGUUUAACUUGAGUGCAGAAGGGGAGAGUGGAAUUCCAUGUGUAGCGGUGAAAUGCGUAGAUAUAUGGAGGAACACCGGUGGCGAAAGCGGCUCUCUGGUCUGUAACUGACGCUGAGGCUCGAAAGCGUGGGGAGCAAACAGGAUUAGAUACCCCUGUAGUCCCUGUCUCUUAUACA